rnacentral:other from 1 species
UAGACCCGGCUAUGUCCGUGAUGCCUGAAUGACGUUUUGAGCCAACAACUCUGACCUGGGAGCUAAACGCUAGAGGGGCUGCGCAAGUCCUUGGCUGGACUAGGCAAUAACCGACAGGUGAGCACCCACUUGGUUACUCAGGUUCAAAGCAGAGUUGCACACGGCAUAGCGGGGUCUUU